rnacentral:lncRNA from 1 species
GUCUUUUUUAGGGCCACACUCUUCGCAUAUGGAAGUUCUCAGGCUAGGGGCUGAACUGAAGCUGCAGCUGCCGGCCUACCCCACAGCCACAGCAACAUCAGAUCCAAGCCACAUCUGCAACCUACACCACAGCUCACAGCAAUGCUGGAUCCUUCGCCCACUGAGCGAGGCCAGGGAUCAAACCCGCCUCCUCAGGGAUACUAGUCGAGUUCAUUACCACUGAGCCACAAUGGGAACUCCCUAAUUCUACAUAUUUUCUAGUUUCUGACUUGGAGCAACAGGAUACAUUUUUAAAAACAGAAAUGCAAAGUAAAUAUUAUUAUUUUUAACAUUUAAAAAAAAAAAGUCACUCCUGCUUGGGUAUCUUCUUUAGGUUUCAUGGGAAAGGCAACUUUCACCUGCCAACACUCCCAGCAACUGAGCAAAGGAACAUCUCAGUCCUGGGAGCAGAAGGAGGAGGGGUGGGAUCCAUCGAGCAAUGUCUACUAUCCUGGCUGAUGGGGGGAGUGGGGGGGGGAGAGUUUCUUUUCACUCCGUGUCCUUUUGUAUAUUUUCCAUUGUGUAUUGGUAUCGCAAUGUAUUUGUCAACUCAAUACCUGCUCAAAAAUAAACAACUGAAAACAGCAACCACCAAAAAUAAAAGAAGAAGAAAGCUUAUUUUCAUAUAGGUUUAAAAAGACAGCAGAAAGGCUACACCCAAUCAAGGAAGAUGGCUCUCGUUAAAAAUUGCAUGAGAUGCUAUCAACAUGCAAAGCAUGGUAAUAGCCUGAGAUAAUUUAUUCUGAUUCCCAAAACCCAAGGAAAAAAAAAAUCAUUAAUAUGGACUCUUUCACCUCGAAAUCUACAGGAACGCGCCACCUCCUGCACUUCUCAGGCUGGCGUCCCCCCCGCCUCCCUUUAACUGUGGCUCCAGAAUAUCCCUUCCCCUCACUCUGGCUUCUCAGUCUACAUCUCUCUUUGCUUGUAUGUUUCAUGCUCAGCUUCCCUCGACUUCCCUUUGAAGUUGACAUUCUUGUCACCCUUAUUCUCCCCAGGGCUGCCUUUUUUCUCUCUCUCUCUUUUUUGGCUACAAUAUGAAAAUAUAUGAGAAGGCUUUAUUGAACAGCCUGGAUUUUCUCCCAUUCAUAUGAAAUCAGAGGAGCAAAGCCAUCCAUUUACAUCUCUCUCUCAAAAAAAAACAAAAAACCCACUAAAUCAAAUUAUUUUUGUUUUGGGAGGUCACUGCUUUUCAGUGGCCCAUCAUACCCCCUCUCCCUCCAGAGAGGCCCCGGGGAAGACAGACUCACCCUAGCCGAGAAAUCACACCAGCAGACAUUGAUGAUAAGCUGAUUAAAAUGUAUCUUAAGAAAAAGGCUGUGAGGUAAGGUGUGGUUUGGCAAUUUAGAGUCUGCCCAGAAAUCUGGAGACCACAGUUAAGUGUGUAGCUCCUAGGAGGUCAUAAAAAUAGCAUCUUAUUCUCAUUCGGGAGGACAAAUCCUUGGUACAUCAGCAUAAACUGAACCCAGAUGAGUUUUGCCCAAAACAAGCACAGGAAGUUCCCCUUAUGUCUCAGUGGUAAGGAACCCAACUAGGAUCCAUGAGGAGGUGGAUUCGAUCCCUGGCCUCUCUCAGUGGGUUAACGAUCCAGCAUUGCCAUGAGCUGAGGUGUAGGUUGCAGACACAGCUCAGAUCUGGUGUUGCUGGGGCUGUGGUGUAGGUCAGCAGCUAGAGCUCCAACUGGACCCUAGCCUGGGAAGUUCUGUAUGUCGCAUUUACAGCCCUAAAAAAGCCGAAACAAACAAACAAAAAACACCAAAAAAUCAACCAAACAAAACAAUCAUAGCCAUUGAAACAUCCUGACAUCAAGACCAGGCAUGGAGAGAAGUCCAGAAAGCCAGCAGAUUACAGCUGGUGAGAUCAUGCAGUCAAUCUAACAGUGAAACAAGAUUUGAAACAUCAUCACUUCAGUAGAAAGUAGAAAAUUAAGUAUCCAGCAGAGUAACAGUGAAAGAUACCCGUCAGCUAAGCAGUUCUGCUCCUCCCUGGAGGAUAUAAAGAGUUUGGAGAGAACAACAGUAUCUCAAAAAGAAAAAGUAUUUUGAGAGGGUUCUGAUUUUUUUUUUCUAACUUGGAAAUAGAAACACAUAUUUAAUUAUAACGGUUCUCAGAAUGGAAAUAUUGGCUUCUGGACUUUAAAUACAUCAGCCUCAGAUCUUAUUAUUCUUCUACCUUUAGCCAUUUUUGCCUUCAUGAGUUAUUUAUCACUUCACUUGCAAUGACUUUGAUAUGUAAAUUAAAGCCACUGUACCAAAUGUUAUGAUUCAGAUAAAGAUCUAGAAACACUAAUAUUUUUCAUUAUGGAUUUUUGCUUAUCCAACUGAAUCCAACAGAAUUGCCCAAUUGGUAGGGAAAAUAUCUGCACAGAGUGUCAUAGAAUUUUAAAACCACUGACAAUCCAAACACAUCGACUAAAGAUGUCCAUCAUAAAGGCAUCUCAAUUUGUAAUUAUGGCACAUGGUCUCGUAAUUUGAACACCAGGAUCAAAUUUCCUGUUUAAAAUAGAGAAGAAUCAUUCCUCCACCCAGUUUGCAAAGGUCUGAGUCUUUAGGCUCAGAAAUGUAUUAAACAGAGUGGUUGAUAUUUCAGGCAUCAUCUGCAUUUACCAGCCACAUGGCCUUGGCCAAGUUAUACAGCCUCUCUUUGCCUGGGUUUCUUUAACUGUAAAAAACGGUGAAGAAAGAGAACUUGCCACAAGCAUGGAACACGAUAAUCCAAGUAAAAGUGCUGACUUAGCCCAGCACCAAUACAAUAAUCCAAUAAAAGUGCUGACUUAGCCCAGCACCAAUACAUGUCAGUUGAUUUUAGUUCCUUAGGCAGAAUGAUGCAGUGACAGCUUUGUCACAUUCUUAAGAUUUAAGGAACUACUGUUCUUAAAGAUGGAGAGAUGGCCAUACAGUCUCUUGCUGAGGUCAGGGAAGGGGGGCAACAUGUGGCUACAUUCAAACAAAGAAGCAGAGGCUGACAUGUCUCUGGACCAGAUGUUGUCCCACCUCACUCAUCUCUUGUGCCCUGAGAUGGUCAGAGGGAAAAGGAAGCUUCUCUGGUCACUCAGACACCUGUCAGGGGACCCAUGAGCAUCCUGUGAUGGAGCUAGGGUCCUAAUACCUUGGACAGCUAAUGGCAAAGCAGAACAAGAGUCCAGGGACAGGGCAGAGACCGCCUCAAGAUCCCUGAAUGUUUUUGCCUCCUGCAGCUCCGAUGUUUCUUUAAAAAAAAAUAAAAAUAAAAAUGGGGAUGGGGUGGGAUGGAUGGGGAGUUUGGGGUUAGUAGAUGCAAACUAUUACAUUUAAAUGGAUAAGCAGUAAGGUCUACUGUAUAGCACCAGGAACUAUAUCCAGUCUCUUGGGAUAGACUAUAAGCAAAGACAACAUAAGAAGGAGAAUGUGUGUAUAUAUAUGUGACUUGGUCACAAAACUAAAACUGUGUAACUGUGUGCUCCAAUAAUAACAAUAAUAAUAAUAAUAAUAAAGUCUUUAAUUUAAAAAAAGAAAAGGAACAGGGAAUGUGUGUGUGUGUGUGUAUGACUGGGUCACUUUGCUGUAUAGCAGAAAUUGGCACAACAUUGUAAAACAACUACAAUAAAAAAAAAGCCAAAGUUAGAACUGGAGAAGGGCUGUCCCUAAACAGAGAUGGCAUUUCAUCUCUUACGUAUCCAUUCAUUCAUCACUCACUUACUCACUGAUAUCUGCAUAUCCUGAGCCCAGCCUUGUAAGAGCAGCUGGAGACACAGAGGUGUCUAAAAGGCAGCCCUUGUCCUUGGGGAGCCUACGGGCUAUUGGGGAAAAGGCCUGUCAAAAGACAUACUUAUCCCAGGGUUUUACAGGCCAUGAGAUGCUGAGCUGGGAUGCUGAAGGACAGAGGAAGAGAAGAGCAGCAGGUGCAGAAUGGCAGAGUCACGGGCACACCAUGUGUUCUUCCAGUCGUACACGGUCCAGAGAGGCUGCCGUGAGGAGGGGAUGGGAGAAUGAAUGGUGUAAGAUGCUGUCUGGGUUUCAAGGGACCUUGCACACAAGCUGGGGAGCUGGGCGUCACCCUGGGAGCAACUGGGACCAUCCGCAGGACAGUAGGCAAGAGAAUGACAUGCUCAGGUUUGCAUUUAAGAAAGAUCAUCCUGCCGCCUUUGCCCCUUGUACACUCCCGAUUCAUCCUGUUGGCUGGGCAUCUGUGACAGUGGCUCCAUUGGCAUAGAAUCUGAUCAUCCAACCUCCACAGAGUGCUGGGGCUCCUCACGCUUCAGUAUCCUUUACUCCAGGUUUACUCGAGUGGAGUGGAGAGGAAAAGCAUCUUCCAGCUGCAGAUCACAUUUCUAGUCGCUGACACCCAUCUCCAACCCGCCCACGAGAGAUAGCUCCUCCCACAUCCCAGGCCAAACGCAUCACCUCUCCCACAAAACUGGCUUUUCCUUCUUCAUUUUCUGGUCACCUGGGUUCCAAAACUUCUUGCCACAUCCUAUCUCCCCUGAAGACCUGCUGCUGUGUCUUCCUUCAAAAAUCGCUGCAUCUCCCCACUUCCUGCACAGCCCUACUGCCCCACCCUAUAGACUGUAGUGAUCUCACCCAUGAACUCUCACCACAAUGACCCACCUGGGCUCUCAGCCACCAGUCGUCCUUUUGUCAGCCCGUCUUCCAUGACCAAGUCACUCCCUGCCAAAGCUAGCAGACUCCAAACUCCUAGCAGUCUGGAACUGACCAAUGUUGGUGAGACAGUCAUGCCCAAGGCAGCUAGGUCCCCGAGAGGCUUUCCAGCACGAUGGCCUUCCUUCCUCUCACCUUGCCACGUCCUCCUGCUGAAUAAAUCACCCAACCCACUCUGCACUUCCUACUCUGCCUUCUGCUCAGUGUGGACCGGGUCAGGGUCUCCCAAACUACCAAGAAAUCAGGUCCUUGCAGAUGUAGCCAGUUGAGAUAAGGUCAUGCUGGAUUAAGGUGUGCCCUCAUCUAGUGACUGGUGGCCUUACAGGAAGAGAAAAUAGAGACAAAGACAUAUGAAGAGAAGAUGGCCAUGUGACAGUGGAAGUAUAGGCUGGAACCAUGUGCCCCAAAGGCAAGGAUGGGCCCAAACAAAUGCCAAGGUUUGCUGGCCACUACAAGAAGCUAGGAGUCAAGAAACAGAAUCUCCUUCAGAGGUUCCAAAAGGAAGUUCUUGAUUUCAGACUUCCAGCCUCCCGAACGUGAGAGAAUACAUUUCUAUUGUUUUCAGGAGAAACUGGUAUAUUGUUAUGGCCACAGGAAAUUAACACACAGUGCCCCGUGCCACCACCAAGAAUGGCCAGUGCUUGUUUGUCUACUUGUCCAGUGAGACCUUCCCCAAAGGCCCAGCUCAAAUUCCUCAUGCUCCUGUGGGUAGCCAUGGACUCUCCCACUCCUCUGAUAAAAACUCUGCCAUGUCUUACCAGUCCUGGGUUCCUGGGGGCCAUACAUUCCAAAGGCCACUGAUUCCAGUUCAGUCACCUUUGAAUUACUAAUUGACAAGCUUCCUCAGGUGUGUUUCUCUUGCAAAUGAGGGCCAGCAAAGGGGUUUGGUUAAUUUCUUUCCAGAGUAGUCACUGUUUUACUUUACGGCCACAAGCUUCCCUCCUAGUGUCAGCCACCAUUUCCCACGUAUGUGUGGUCACCUGUGGAGGCAAAUACACAGCCUUCCAACUCUCCAUCAUCUAACUUCAACUUCCCUUUCUCUUUAUCAUCCUCAUACCAUCCACUGUGCCAUUCUACUCAACCUAACAAAUCAGAAGAUGCAGCCACAUGUGAAUCCCAAAUAAACCCUGCACCCUCCCACCUCCACAUCCAUCCGAGAAUGCCCUUCUCUAUCUUCCCAUCCCCUAAAAUCCUUCUAGCCCUUCAAGGCUGACUCCAAUGCCAUCCUUUCUAAAAGGUCUUUCUUCAUCCCAGGCCAUGGGAAAUUUACUCCCUUCUUGUAUUGGUCAGAGUUCGGCUUAUAUCUACAGCAGGGUACUUGGAAGGUGAGCAUGGCUGCAAUGUUGUAAAACUCUGCACCUUACCAACUCUGCUGCAGGUGACCUAGAGCAAAUCACUUAACCUCUUUGGAUGUCAGUUUUCCCACCUACACAAUUGGUAUGACUGUAGCACUGGCCAUAUAGUGUCAUGAGGGUUAAAUGAGAUAAUGCAGGUAAAGCUUUGAGCAGACUCCGACUUGGCAACACUCAAUGUAUGCUAGUGG